UACGUAGGGGGCAGGCGUUGUCCGGAAUCAUUGGGCGUAAAGCGCGUGUAGGCGGCUAGAUAAGUCUGCUCUGAAAGCCCGGGGCUCAACCCCGGGAGGCGGGUGGAUACUGUCUAGCUCGAGUCCGGAAGAGGAGUGUGGAAUUCCUGGUGUAGCGGUGAAAUGCGCAGAUAUCAGGAGGAACACCUGAGGUGAAGACGGGUUGCUGGGCCGACACUGACGCUGAGGCACGAAAGCCAGGGGAGCAAACGGG
rnacentral:rRNA from 1 species